rnacentral:rRNA from 1 species
GUCCACGCCGUAAACGAUGAUCACUCGUUGUUGGCGAUACACCGUCAGCGACUGAGCGAAAGCAAUAAGUGAUCCACCUGGGGAGUACGGCGGCAACGCUGAAACUCAAAGGAAUUGACGGGGGCCCGCACAAGCGGAGGAACAUGUGGUUUAAUUCGAUGAUACGCGAGGAACCUUACCUGGGCUUGAAAGGGGAUUGACCUCCCGGGAAACCGGGAUUCUCUUCGGAGCAAUCUCCUAGGUGCUGCAUGGUUGUCGU